rnacentral:rRNA from 1 species
GAUCAUGGCUCAGGACGAACGCUGGCGGCGUGCCUAACACAUGCAAGUCGAACGAGAAUUUUUAUUUCGGUAGAAUUCUUAGUGGCGAACGGGUGAGUAACGCGUAGGCAACCUGCCCUUUAGACGGGGACAACAUUCCGAAAGGAGUNCUAAUACCGGAUGUGAUCAUCGUGCCGCAUGGCAGGAUGAAGAAAGAUGGCCUCUACAAGUAAGCUAUCGCUAAAGGAUGGGCCUGCGU